rnacentral:rRNA from 1 species
UACGUAGGUGGCAAGCGUUGUCCGGAUUUACUGGGCGUAAAGGGCGUGCAGGCGGUCUGUUAAGUGCAGGGUGAAAGCUCCCGGCUCAACUGGGAGAGGUCCUUGCAUACUGGCGGACUUGAGGGGGGUAGAGGAAAGUGGAAUUCCCGGUGUAGUGGUGAUAUGCGUAGAUAUCGGGAGGAACACCAGUGGCGAAGGCGGCUCACUGGCCCGGUACUGACGCUGAGGUGCGAAAGCGUGGGGAGCAAACAGG